GGUCUUUUCGUAUAAUUGGUUAGUACAAUUACCCUUCACGUAGUAAAUGCCGGUUCGAUCCCGGUAAAGACUA
rnacentral:tRNA from 1 species